rnacentral:sRNA from 1 species
CCCAUUUUCCUCUCCGCCCUGGCGCACCCAGCCUCAGCCCUGCUUCCUGUGGACGUCAGGCAGUGAUGCUCUUGCCCUCAGGCCUAGAUAAAGGUAGGGUAGGCAAGGCCCAGCCACUGAGCUCACAGAAGGCAGCACCAGGCAUCCAGACUGGUGGGGGCACAAGGUAUGGUGCCCAGCAUACAACACUGCUUUGUACAUGGCUAUGAAGGAAAUGUUUGUGAAAUUUAACUGAAUUUUUAAAAAAGAUUAGGCAAUGGACAGUAGAUAUCUCCAGCUCCAGCUUUACCUGCCCUCUUGUUCUCUCCUCCAAGGUAGCGGGGACUCAUCUCUGGAGAAGGAGUUCCUCGGGGCCCCAGUGGGGCCCUCGGUGAGCACCCCCAACAGCCAGCACUCUUCUCCUAGCCGCUCACUCAGUGCCAACUCCAUCAAGGUGGAGAUGUACAGCGAUGAGGAGUCAAGCAGACUGCUGGGGCCAGAUGAGCGGCUCCUGGAAAAGGACGACAGCGUGAUUGUGGAAGAUUCAUUGUCUGAGCCCCUGGGCUACUGUGAUGGGAGUGGGCCAGAGCCUCACUCCCCUGGGGGCAUCCGGCUGCCCAAUGGCAAGCUCAAGUGUGACGUCUGCGGCAUGGUCUGUAUUGGACCCAACGUGCUCAUGGUGCACAAGCGCAGUCACACUGGUGAAAGGCCCUUCCAUUGCAACCAGUGUGGUGCCUCCUUCACCCAGAAGGGGAACCUGCUGCGCCACAUCAAGCUGCACUCUGGGGAGAAGCCCUUUAAAUGUCCCUUCUGCAACUAUGCCUGCCGCCGGCGUGAUGCACUCACUGGUCACCUCCGCACACACUCAGUCUCCUCUCCCACAGUGGGCAAGCCCUACAAGUGUAACUACUGUGGCCGGAGCUACAAACAGCAGAGUACCCUGGAGGAGCACAAGGAGCGGUGCCAUAACUACCUACAGAGUCUCAGCACUGAAGCCCAAGCUUUGGCUGGCCAACCAGGUGACGAAAUACGUGACCUGGAGAUGGUGCCAGACUCCAUGCUGCACUCAUCCUCUGAGCGGCCAACUUUCAUCGAUCGUCUGGCCAAUAGCCUCACCAAACGCAAGCGUUCCACACCCCAGAAGUUUGUAGGCGAAAAGCAGAUGCGCUUCAGCCUCUCAGACCUCCCCUAUGAUGUGAACUCGGGUGGCUAUGAAAAGGAUGUGGAGUUGGUGGCACACCACAGCCUAGAGCCUGGCUUUGGAAGUUCCCUGGCCUUUGUGGGUGCAGAGCAUCUGCGUCCCCUCCGCCUUCCACCCACCAAUUGCAUCUCAGAACUCACGCCUGUCAUCAGCUCUGUCUACACCCAGAUGCAGCCCCUCCCUGGUCGACUGGAGCUUCCAGGAUCCCGAGAAGCAGGUGAGGGACCUGAGGACCUGGCUGAUGGAGGUCCCCUCCUCUACCGGCCCCGAGGCCCCCUGACUGACCCUGGGGCAUCCCCCAGCAAUGGCUGCCAGGACUCCACAGACACAGAAAGCAACCACGAAGAUCGGGUUGCGGGGGUGGUAUCCCUCCCUCAGGGUCCCCCACCCCAGCCACCUCCCACCAUUGUGGUGGGCCGGCACAGUCCUGCCUAUGCCAAAGAGGACCCCAAGCCACAGGAGGGGUUAUUGCGGGGCACCCCAGGCCCCUCCAAGGAAGUGCUUCGGGUGGUGGGCGAGAGUGGUGAGCCUGUGAAGGCCUUCAAGUGUGAGCACUGCCGUAUCCUCUUCCUGGACCACGUCAUGUUCACUAUCCACAUGGGCUGCCAUGGCUUCAGAGACCCUUUUGAGUGCAACAUCUGUGGUUAUCACAGCCAGGACCGGUACGAAUUCUCUUCCCACAUUGUCCGGGGGGAGCAUAAGGUGGGCUAGCAACCUCUCCCUCUCUCCUCAGUCCACCACUCCACUGUCCUGACUACAGGCAUUGAUCCCUGUCCCCACCAUUUCCCAAGGAGUUUUGCUUUGUAGCCCUCACUACUGGCCACCUGACCUCACACCUGACCCUGACCCCUCCUCACCUAUUCUCUUCCUCUAUCCUGACCAAUUUAAGCAUUGUGAUGAAACAGAUCUUUUGCUUAUGUUUUUCCUUUUUAUCUUCUCUCAUCCCAGCAUACUGAGUUAUUUAUUAAUUAGUUGAUUUAUUUUUGCCUUUUUAAAUUUUAACUUAUAUCAGUCACUUGCCACUCCCCCACCCUCCUGUCCACAACUCCUUUCCACUUUAGGCCAAUUUUUCUCUCUUAGAUCUUCCAGCAGCCCCAGGGGUAGGAAGCUCCUCUUAGUACUAAGAGACUUCAAGCUUCUUGCUUUAAGUCCUCACCCUUUACAUUAUCUAAUUCUUCAGUUUUGAUGCUGAUACCUGCCCCCGGCCCUACCUUAGCUCUGUGGCAUUAUAUCUCCUCUCUGGGACUCUUCAACCUGGUACUCCAUACCUCUUGUGCCCUCUCACUUUAGGCAGCUUGCACUAUUCUUGAAUGAAUGAAGAAUUAUUUCCUCAUUUGGAAGUAGGAGGGACUGAAGAAAUUCUCCCCAGACACUGUGGGACUGAGAGUCCUAUACCCCUAGUAAUAGGUCAUAUUCCCCUAGUAAUAUGAGUUCUCAAAGCCUACAUUCAGGAUCUCCCUCUAGGAUGUGAUAGAUCUGGUCCCUCUCCUUGAACUACCCCUCCACACGCUCUAGUCCCUUCAACCUACCGGUCUAUUAAGUGGUGGCUUUUCUCUCCUUAGAGUGCCCCAAUUUUAUAUUCUCAGGGGCCAAGGCUAGGUCUGCAACCCUCUGCCUCUGACACAUUGGGAGCCACAGGUGCCUAAUUGGGAACCAGGGCAUGAGAAAGGAGUGGGUCAAAUUUCUUCUCUUUCUCCUCCACCUCUCAAACUUCUUCACUAUAGUGACCUUCCUAGGCUCUCAGGGGCUCCUUCAGUCCCCAUCCUAUGAGAAACUAGUGGGUUGCUGCCUGAUGACAAGGGGUUGUUUCAGCCCCUCAGUCAUGCUGCCUUCUGCUGCUCCCUCCCAGCAGGAUUCACCCUCUCAUUCCCGGGCUCCUGGGCCCUGUUCUUAGGAUCAGUGGCAGGGAGAAACGGGUAUCUCUUUUCUCUCUUCUAAUUUUCAGUAUAACCAAAAAUUAUCCCAGCAUGAGCACGGGCACGUGCCCUUCACCCCAUUCCACCCUUGUUCCAGCAAGACUGGGAUGGGUACAACUGAACUGGGGUCAUCCUUUACUACCCCCUUCUACACUCAGCUCCCAGACACAGGGUAGGAGGGGGGACUGCUGGCUACUGCAGAGACCCCUGGCUAUUUGAGUAACCUAGGAUUAGUGAGAAGGGGCAGAAGGAGAUACAACUCCACUGCAAGUGGAGGUUUCUUUCUACAAGAGUUUUCUGCCCAAGGCCACAGCCAUCCCACUCUCUGCUUCCUUGAGAUUCAAACCAAAGGCUGUUUUUCUAUGUUUAAAGAAAAAAAAAAGUAAAAACCAAACACAACACCUCACAAGUUGUAACUCUUGGUCCUUCUCUCUCUCCUUUUCUCUUCCCUUCCUUCCCCUUCCAUCUUUCUUUCCACAUGUCCUUUCCUUAUUGGCUCUUUUACCUCCUACUUUUCUCACUCCCUAUCAGGGAUAUUUUGGGGGGGGAUGGUAAAGGGUGGGCUAAGGAACAGACCCUGGGAUUAGGGCCUUAAGGGCUCUGAGAGGAGUCUACCUUGCCUUCUUAUGGGAAGGGAGACCCUAAAAAACUUUCUCCUCUUUGUCCUCCUUUUUCUCCCCCACUCUGAGGUUUCCCCAAGAGAACCAGAUUGGCAGGGAGAAGCAUUGUGGGGCAAUUGUUCCUCCUUGACAAUGUAGCAAUAAAUAGAUGCUGCCAAGGGCAGAAAAUGGGGAGGUUAGCUCAGAGCAGAGUAGUCUCUAGAGAAAGGAAGAAUCCUCAGCGGCACCCUGGGGUGCUAGCUCCUUUUUAGAAUGUCAGCAGAGCUGAGAUUAAUAUCUGGGCUUUUCCUGAACUAUUCUGGUUAUUGAGCCCUUCCUGUUAGACCUACCCCCUCCCACCUCUUCUGUGUCUGCUGUGUAUUUGGUGACACUUCAUAAGGACUAGUCCCUUCUGGGGUAUCAGAGCCUUAGGGUGCCCCCAUCCCCUUCCCCAGUCAACUGUGGCACCUGUAACCUCCCGGAACAUGAAGGACUAUGCUCUGAGGCUAUACUCUGUGCCCAUGAGAGCAGAGACUGGAAGGGCAAGACCAGGUGCUAAGGAGGGGAGAGGGGGCAUCCUGUCUCUCUCCAGACCAUCACUGCACUUUAACCAGGGUCUUAGGUACAAAAUCCUACUUUUCAGAGCCUUCCAGCUCUGGAACCUCAAACAUCCUCAUGCUCUCUCCCAGCUCCUUUUGCAU